CUCCUUCCUUCCUGGCUUCUGUCAGUCCAGGUCUGUGUGGAAAGUUGGGAAGGGGCAUGGCCCUUGAGGACCAGUUUACCCCAUCUUCCUCGUGGAUUCAGUCUUCCUCCUGGACUCUGAGGCUAAAAGGGACACACAGGACUGACUCAAGGUCCACUGCACCCUGUCUUCUCCCUGGAAGUCAGCAGAAGCAAUUCCAGCUGAGAUAGGGGCGUGGGUCAUACGGAAUGUAAAAUUGGACCAGGUUGAUAGGGACAAUGAGUCAGAAGCCAUCCGGGGGGACCUCACACUGAUGCUGGCCACCCACAGCUGUCAGUGUUCCUGAAAGCAGAUGCUGGACUCAUCACUCUGAAAACCCGCCUUGGAGGCCAAAGGAAAAAUGAGGAGGAGCCAGAAGACGGAGGCUCUUGUGAGUCCAUCAAGAAAUUUGGUUUGGACAUUUUUCAAGUAUUCUCUGUUCUGGCUUCUCCUGGUUCCCUGCCUGGGACUUGUAAUGCUAAUAACCUUUGCCUUUACUUCCCUUUACAUAUCUUUCCCGGUGACUUCCUGACUCUCUACACCUGGCUGUUAUACAGUGGAGCAGCUGGUGCACUUUGGGGGUCUUUUAAAGAAGUUCACUGGGGGCUGGAGAGACGGCUCAUAGUGUUUUCCCAGAAGACCCAGGUUUAAUUCUCAGACCCACAACCAUCUGAAGUUCCGGUCUCAGGGGACCUAACCGUCUUCUGAUUUCCAUGCAUACCAGGCAGGCACAAGGUGCACAUGCAGACAAAAUACUCACAUGCAUACAAUAAAUAAAUAGAAUUUUAAAGUUUAUAUUGUCCCACUGCAAGGGGUACUCCAACUGCUGUACCUGAUGCUCCCAUUCAGCUGGAAGAAACCAGAGUGUUUGUUCCCCAAUGCUAUCUGGCAGUUCUGACUACCUCCAUAGAGGUAGGGGGUGGCGAAAGCAGGAGGUAAGAUUUAGAUAGGCAGUCUAGGGUUAAAAGACUCCAAAGGAAAAUAACCAGCUUACCUCUUAGCCAGAAAUAUCCUUGGGCCUCUUGACAGCCUCAUUCUUGCCAGAAGCAGAGUUGCCAAAAGCAUUUGAAGGGCUCUGAUCUGGUUCCUAAAUGGCUCUACAAUUGCCUCUUUAGAGGGAGUAAAUACUAAUACAGCAGUGGGAGCCUAUAGAGAGAGGAUUUUCUGGUCAAGAGAAUAGAAUUUCUGGCCUGGAUGGAGACAUAACAUUCCAGUUGGGCCAGGUCAGCCAGCUGGUCCAGCCUCAUGAUGCACACUUUUUAUAAAAAGAAAUUAUCUUGUCAGGUUUUAAAAAAACAUAAACACAAAAUUGUGUCCCUCUGCUUUUUCAUGAAACAAUAGCACUUUGAGUUAGGGCAUCAAUAUUGUCAAACAGCAAAAACCAAUCAAUCCAAAGAACAACAGGAUGAAAAUAGUCUCAUGCAUCUGGCAAGACAUUUCUGUGGAAGGAAUCUUAUAUUUGUCGUAGCCAAUACGAAAUCUACAAGUCAUGCACAUACUUGAAGUGUGGCUGAAUUGAGGGUAUGAAUUUUUCAUAACCAAAGCAGUCAUGCAUGGCUAUUGGCUACUAAGCCAAGAGAUUACCUGGGAUAUUGCCCUAAUACUUGUCAAGAAGUUAAAGAUUGGCUAGGGGAAGAGGGACACUUUCAGUAAAUAGAUCUGAAACUUCUAGCUGGUUUUGGAGAUGGGUUUGGCACACCUACUGUGGGCAGGACUCCUAGGGGAGAAUUCAUAUGCUCUUCCAGCUUUCGGAGUAAAGGCCUGGAUGUUGGUCACUCUGGAAGAUGCCUAUAGUCACAAAAAGAGCUUGAGGUUGGGGCACCAUCUGUGUGCUGAUGUCACUGUUGAGGGUUACUUGUUUUAGAUCAGGUUUCCAGAACCAGAGUGGGGCUUGGACAGUUGAAAGCCUGGGCCCCUUCUGGCCAUCUGCAUGUUGCACCAGGCUUUUCCUUUGUAGAGGUUUAAGAAUGUGUUCUUGCUCUCAAACCCUUUGCCAGGAUCCAGCCUGUUCACAAAGGACUGGUCUCCUCUGUGAGCAGACUUGUGUUGUAGGUAAUGAUGGUUUACAAUACUAAACCAUUGCUUGCCCUGUGGUUUAAUGCCUUAGCUGGUCUAGUGCCAGAGGGUUGAGCCCAGGUGAGUGAUGAGCGGGCGAAAAUAGGCAAUACGGUGUCUGUGAGAAAAUGCCAGUAUAACACUGUCCAGGAACCAGAUCUCAGUUUCAUGAACUAAUCCCGAUUUCCUGUUUUUGUAAACGAAGGUAACAUUCCCACACUCAGUGCACAGAUUCAGCUCAAAUAUCCCAAGCUUCAAAGUAAUGCUGGUCCUCAUUGGUUUCAUGCGCUGAGAAAUGGGGCAUCUUUGUCAAGCUAACACCAACCAGAGUCAUCUGGGAGGAGGGAACCUUGCCUGAGGAACUGCUUCCAUCAGAGUUGCCAGUGGACAUGCCUGUAAGCCAUUUUCUUAAUUCUCAUUGAUGUAGGAGGGCCCAGUCCACUGUGGGCAGAGCCAUCCCUAGCCCAGGUGGGCUUGGGCUAUGUAAGAAAAGUGGCUGCGUAAGCAGAGGGAGCGAGAGCCGGUACACAAUGCUCUUCUGUGCUUCAGUUCCUGGCUCCAAGUUCCUGACUUUAGCUCCUACCCUGGCAUCUCUCAAUGACAGACCGUAACUGGAGAAGAAAUAUGUCAAAGAAAGCUGCAUCACCAAAGCCCACCCCAGCACGGGUGACAACUCACAAAGACUGGACACCUGGAGCGCACUGCACAGCCUGCAGCAGCUCAGCAGUUGGGAGAGUAUCCUUUCCAAGUGACUCGGUUGAUCUAAACCUCUUCUAGGCAGCGGUUCUGUUUUUAGAGUCUCCAUUGCAGCUUGGCUUCCAUCUGAAGGGACUCUGGGCUUUUCCUGCUUACUCUGGCAGAAAGGGGCCUGGUGAAGUGUGGGGACACCAGACCUUGUUCAGAAACCCACCCCUCCAUCAGCCUGGGAGCAGGCAGCUGCAAGAUAAUGUUUACUGAAAACAAUU